GGCUGACAUAGAGACAUUUUCUUUAUGAGUCACCACUUAAGCUGGCCUGCACGUCUUUGGCCAGUGGGAAGAAGCCAGAGGAGGCGGAGAAAAAAACACCCUCGUGCUGUGAGGCGACAGUGCCAAACACCACACCACUGUGCCGCCCGUGGUGCUGAGGGCCUCACUCGUGAACCCUUUUUGGUGAAGGUGUCCCCUCGUGUGUAGUGUCUUAUUCACUCCCUUUUUGCUUUACCCUUGUGUGUGUUUUGGAGUGUUAAAGAGUGGAUUGUGGUGCUCCAAUUUUAAGUUUAUACCUUCACCCCCCCCCCCCCCCACCC
ensembl:lncRNA